UACGUAGGGUGCGAGCGUUGUCCGGAAUUACUGGGCGUAAAGAGCUCGUAGGUGGUUUGUCGCGUUGUUCGUGAAAACUCACAGCUCAACUGUGGGCGUGCGGGCGAUACGGGCAGACUGGAGUACUGCAGGGGAGACUGGAAUUCCUGGUGUAGCGGUGGAAUGCGCAGAUAUCAGGAGGAACACCGGUGGCGAAGGCGGGUCUCUGGGCAGUAACUGACGCUGAGGAGCGAAAGCGUGGGGGAGCGAACAGG
rnacentral:rRNA from 1 species